GACAGAGGGGUGCAACGUUGUCUCGGAAUCACUGGGCGUAAAGGGCGUGUAGGCGGGAAGGAAAGUCAGAUGUGAAAUCCCUGGGCUCAACCCAGGAACUGCAUUUGAAACUCCCUUUCUUGAGUGUCGGAGAGGAAAGUGGAAUUCCUGGUGUAGAGGUGAAAUUCGUAGAUAUCAGGAGGAACACCGGUGGCGAAGGCGGCUUUCUGGACGACAACUGACGCUGAGACGCGAAAGCGUGGGGGAGCAAACAGG
rnacentral:rRNA from 1 species